UGGUCCCUAAAAAGCCCUGAAAGCACAAAGAUUUGGUCCUAGUCUUAUUAUCAGCUUCUCCUAAACUUACACAUGCAAGUCUCAGCCCACCCGUGAGGAUGCCCUUUCCUCUAAACCAGAGCAAGGAGCCGGCAUCAGGCACAAAAUUCGCCCAUUACGCCUAGUCCCACCACGCCCCCAAGGGCCCCAGCAGUGAUAAACAUUGUUCAUAAGCGACAGCUUGACUCAGUUACAGGAGACAGAGCUGGCUAACUCGGUGCCAGCCGCCGCGGCUAAACCGCAUGAGCUCGAGUUGAUAAUUAUCGGCGUUAAGCGUGAUUAAAGACACUUAAAUUAGAAUUAAACCUACGCUUAGCUGUGACAAGCUUGCUGCUAGGGAGAUCCAAAAACGAAAGUUAUCCUAAUCUACUUGAACCCACGACAGUGAGGAAACAAACUGGGAUUAGAUACCCCACUAUGCCCCACCGUAAAAUAUUAACUCACACCACCAACGCCCGGGCAUUACGAGCCUAGCUUAAAACCCAAAGGACUUGACGGUGUCCCACCCAACUAGAGGAGCCUGUUCUAUAAUCGAUAACCCCCGAUACACCCAACCCCACCUUGCCACUCAGCCUGUAUACCUCCGUCGUAAGCUUACCAUAUGAAUGCCAACAGUAAGUAUAAUGGUCUUAACACCAAUACGUCAGGUCAAGGUGCAGCUCACGAUGGGGAAGCAAUGGGCUACAAUCUCUAGCAUAGAACAUACGAAAUACUACAUGAAAUACAGAUAUGAAGGCGGAUUUAGUAGUAAAAGGGGAAUAGUGCGCCCCUUUUAACAAGGCCAUGGGACGUGUACACACCGCCCGUCACCCUCUUCGACAGUUUAUUAAACGUCUAUAACCACCCACUGCGUCUUAGAAGAGGCAAGUCGUAACACGGUAAGUGUACCGGAAGGUGCUCUUGGUUCAACAAAAUGUAGCUUAACUAAAGCCUCUCGCUUACACCGAAAAGACAUCCGUGAAAACCAGAUCAUUUUGAACCUAAACCUUAGCCUAAUCCUGAGCCUAUGUACAUCACACCCAAAUUAAUUAAAACAAAACAUUUCUUUAGUCUAGUAGAGGUGAUCAAAAAACUUAUUAGCGCCCUAUUGCCAGUACCGCAAGGGAAAAGUGAAAUAGCUUUGAAAUAGCCUUAAAGUAGAACAAAGCAGAGCUCAUCCCUCGUACCUUUUGCAUCAUGGUUUAGCCAGUCCUAGCCAGGCAAAGUGAUACACUAGUCUGGCCCCCCGAAACUAGACGAGCUACUUUUAAACAGCUUCACAGAGCCAACCCAUCUCUGUUGCAAAAGAGUGGGAUGAUUUAUAAGUAGAGGUGAAAAGCCUAUCGAGCCUAGAGAUAGCUGGUUACUUAGGAAAAGAAUUUUAGUUCAACUUCAAGCCCCCACAUUAUAACAACAAACACCUGAGGCUUGAAAGCUAGUCAAACAAGGCACAGCUUGUUUGACAAAGGCGACAGCCUAUAAAAAAGGGUAAACCCAACACUACUGACCAAGUGGGCCUAAAAGCAGCCACCUUUGAAAAAGCGUUAAAGCUUCCUCUCACCCUUUGAUUUAAUACCUGAAAAUACCCUAAACCCUUUAUCACUACUAAGUAAUUUUAUAAUUUUAUAAAAGCCUUUAUGCUAAAACUAGUAACAAGAAGUAGAACUUCUCCUAAAUACAGGUGUACGCCAAAAUGGACUAGCCAUCGGCAAUUAUCGUUAAUGAGCUCGCUAUAGCAACACACCCAAGAAAACACUAUUAUCACACACGUUAAUCUUACACAAGCGUAUUCUAGGAAAGAUUAAAAGGAGAGGAAGGAACUCGGCAAACUUUAACCCCGCCUGUUUACCAAAAACACCGCCUCUUGUCAAAAAAUAAGAGGUCCAGCCUGCCCAGUGACACACUUAAACGGCCGCGGUACCCUGACCGUGCAAAGGUAGCAUAAUCAUUUGUUCUUUAAAUAAGGACUUGUAUCAACGGCAUCACGAGGGUUAUACUGUCUCCCCCCCCUAAUCAGUGAAACUGACCUCCCCGUGAAGAGGCGGGGAUUAGUCUACAAGACGAGAAGACCCCAUGGAGCUUUAAACCCAAUGAUAACCUCUCUCCAAGUACCCCUUAAAGAAAUAGAGGACCUAUAAAUUGGUUUUAGGUUGGGGUGACCGUGGAGUAAAACAAAACCUCCUUGACGAAUAGGAACUAUCCUAAUCUAAGAGCCACUGCUCUAAGAAUCAAGAACUUGACGUAAAAUGAUCCGGCAACCGAUCAACGAACCAAGUUACCCUGGGGAUAACAGCGCAAUCCAUUUCAAGAGCCCCUAUCGACAAAUGGGUUUACGACCUCGAUGUUGGAUCAGGGUAUCCCAGUGGUGCAGCCGCUACUAAAGGUUUGUUUGUUCAACAAUUAAAAC
rnacentral:ncRNA from 1 species